rnacentral:rRNA from 1 species
GUUGUAUGGUUAAGUGACUAAGCGUACACGGUGGAUGCCUUGGCAGUCAGAGGCGAUGAAGGACGUAGUAACUUGCGAUAAGCCCAGAUUAGGUAGUAACAACCAUUUGAGUCUGGGAUUUCCGAAUGGGGAAACCCACUUACAUAAGUAAGUAUCGCUGCGUGAAUACAUAGCGCAGCGAGGCGAACCGGGGGAACUGAAACAUCUAAGUACCCCGAGGAAAAGAAAUCAACCGAGAUUCCGAAAGUAGCGGCGAGCGAAAUUGGACUAGCCCUUAAGCUUUACACGCGUUAGAUGAACGGUCUGGAAAGUCCGACGAUACAGGGUGAUAGUCCCGUAGUUGACGACGUGUGUUCAGUGAAAUCGAGUAGGGCGGGACACGUGAUAUCCUGUCUGAAUAUGGGGGGACCAUCCUCCAAGGCUAAAUACUACUGACUGACCGAUAGUGAACCAGUACCGUGAGGGAAAGGCGAAAAGAACCCCUGUGAGGGGAGUGAAAUAGAACCUGAAACCGUGUACGUACAAGCAGUAGGAGCACCUUCGUGGUGUGACUGCGUACCUUUUGUAUAAUGGGUCAGCGACUUAUAUUCAGUGGCAAGGUUAACCAUCUAGGGGAGCCGUAGGGAAACCGAGUCUUAACUGGGCGUUCAGUCUCUGGAUAUAGACCCGAAACCAGGUGAUCUAGCCAUGGGCAGGUUGAAGGUUGAGUAACAUCAACUGGAGGACCGAACCGACUAAUGUUGAAAAAUUAGCGGAUGACUUGUGGCUAGGGGUGAAAGGCCAAUCAAACCUGGAGAUAGCUGGUUCUCCCCGAAAGCUAUUUAGGUAGCGCCUCGGACGAAUACUACUGGGGGUAGAGCACUGUUAAGGCUAGGGGGUCAUCCCGACUUACCAACCCUUUGCAAACUCCGAAUACCAGUAAGUACUAUCCGGGAGACACACGGCGGGUGCUAACGUCCGUCGUGGAGAGGGAAACAACCCAGACCGCCAGCUAAGGUCCCAAAUUACUACUAAGUGGGAAACGAUGUGGGAAGGCUCAGACAGCCAGGAUGUUGGCUUAGAAGCAGCCAUCAUUUAAAGAAAGCGUAAUAGCUCACUGGUCGAGUCGGCCUGCGCGGAAGAUGUAACGGGGCUAAGUAGUAAACCGAAGCUGCGGCAAUAUACUUUUGUAUAUUGGGUAGGGGAGCGUUCUGUAAGCGGUUGAAGGUGUGUGGUAACGCAUGCUGGACGUAUCAGAAGUGCGAAUGCUGACAUGAGUAACGAUAAAGGGGGUGAAAAACCUCCUCGCCGGAAGACCAAGGGUUCCUGUCCAACGUUAAUCGGGGCAGGGUAAGUCGACCCCUAAGGCGAGGCCGAAAGGCGUAGUCGAUGGGAAACGGGUUAAUAUUCCCGUACUUCUUACAAUUGCGAUGGGGGGACGGAGAAGGCUAGGUGGGCCUGGCGACGGUUGUCCAGGUUCAAGUGCGUAGGCUUAAGAGUUAGGUAAAUCCGGCUCUUUUUAAGGCUGAGACACGACGUCGAGCACCUACGGGUGUGAAGUCAUUGAUGCCAUGCUUCCAGGAAAAGCCUCUAAGCUUCAGAUUGUAAGGAAUCGUACCCCAAACCGACACAGGUGGUCGGGUAGAGAAUACCAAGGCGCUUGAGAGAACUCGGGUGAAGGAACUAGGCAAAAUGGUACCGUAACUUCGGGAGAAGGUACGCUCUUGAUGGUGAAGUCCCUUGCGGAUGGAGCUGACGAGAGUCGCAGAUACCAGGUGGCUGCAACUGUUUAUUAAAAACACAGCACUGUGCAAAAUCGUAAGAUGACGUAUACGGUGUGACGCCUGCCCGGUGCCGGAAGGUUAAUUGAUGGGGUUAGACUUCGGUCGAAGCUCUUGAUCGAAGCCCCGGUAAACGGCGGCCGUAACUAUAACGGUCCUAAGGUAGCGAAAUUCCUUGUCGGGUAAGUUCCGACCUGCACGAAUGGCGUAAUGAUGGCCACGCUGUCUCCACCCGAGACUCAGUGAAAUUGAAAUCGCUGUGAAGAUGCAGUGUACCCGCGGCUAGACGGAAAGACCCCGUGAACCUUUACUACAGCUUGGCACUGAACAUUGACCCUACAUGUGUAGGAUAGGUGGGAGGCUUUGAAGCACGUACGCCAGUAUGUGUGGAGCCGUCCUUGAAAUACCACCCUUGUAGUGUUGAUGUUCUAACGUCGACCCCUUAUCGGGGUUGCGGACAGUGCCUGGUGGGUAGUUUGACUGGGGCGGUCUCCUCCCAAAGAGUAACGGAGGAGCACGAAGGUGGGCUAAUCACGGUUGGACAUCGUGAGGUUAGUGCAAUGGCAUAAGCCCGCUUGACUGCGAGAAUGACAAUUCGAGCAGGUGCGAAAGCAGGUCAUAGUGAUCCGGUGGUUCUGAAUGGAAGGGCCAUCGCUCAACGGAUAAAAGGUACUCCGGGGAUAACAGGCUGAUACCGCCCAAGAGUUCAUAUCGACGGCGGUGUUUGGCACCUCGAUGUCGGCUCAUCACAUCCUGGGGCUGAAGUCGGUCCCAAGGGUAUGGCUGUUCGCCAUUUAAAGUGGUACGCGAGCUGGGUUUAGAACGUCGUGAGACAGUUCGGUCCCUAUCUGCCGUGGGCGUUGGAAGAUUGAAGGGGGCUGCUCCUAGUACGAGAGGACCGGAGUGGACGAACCUCUGGUGUUCGGGUUGUGUCGCCAGACGCAUUGCCCGGUAGCUAAGUUCGGAAUCGAUAACCGCUGAAAGCAUCUAAGCGGGAAGCGAGCCCUGAGAUGAGUCUUCCCUGAUACUUUAAGUAUCCUAAAGGGUUGUCGGAGACUACGACGUUGAUAGGUCAGGUGUGUAAGUGCUGUGAGGCAUUGAGCUAACUGAUACUAAUUGCCCGUGAGGCUUAACCAUACAACACCCAAGGGGUUU